AUUCUGUUUUGUGUAUUAACCUAAUGUACACGCAGUCUACACAGCACUUACAAGCACGCACUCACAUAGAUAUCGCUGCCCUACAAGCAACGCACAAACCAACACACCACAUCCACACAGCAGCAUGUCAUACAAAGCCAAACGUACCCAACCAAGUGAGAACCUAUAUGACUGUAACCCUGACCUAGUUGUGCACUGAUAGUUAUGACUGGAGGCUGAUACACGACACUGUAUAUCCCUCAAUAAUACAUGGACCAACGACUGACCUAGCCAAUAAUGCAAACAGAGUGUAAUUCAUGUUUAAAGCUACCGUCCCAUGCUUAACUAAUAUUUGCUACAUGACUCAAGCUUGAUUGCCUUUCGUUAACAGUGUGUUCACAUUACUUUGUCUCAACAAGUAGCCUACAUACAAACCAUCAGCUUAAGGGUUAAUACUUACGUUAUAUGCAUAUUUGACCUAGCAUGUCUCCUACUAAUUGCUAAAGUUUCGUAGCCUGUGAUCUUCAUGUUAUAUAUACAUAUAUAAAAACUGUGCUGUUUACUAUUGCCACACUUUGUGAUACCUUGAAGACGCCUGCAGACGCUGUUGUGGCCCUGCUCGCAUGUUG